rnacentral:rRNA from 1 species
CAGCCGCCGCGGGAAUACAGAGGGUGCAAGCGUUAAUCGGAAUUACUGGGCGUAAAGCGCGCGUAGGUGGUUUGUUAAGUUGGAUGUGAAAUCCCCGGGCUCAACCUGGGAACUGCAUCCAAAACUGGCAAGCUAGAGUAUGGUAGAGGGUGGUGGAAUUUCCUGUGUAGCGGUGAAAUGCGUAGAUAUAGGAAGGAACACCAGUGGCGAAGGCGACCACCUGGACUGAUACUGACACUGAGGUGCGAAAGCGUGGGGAGCAAACAGGAUUAGAUACCCCUGUAGUCCCUGUCUCUUAUAA